rnacentral:rRNA from 1 species
UACAGAGGUCCCAAGCGUUGUUCGGAUUCAUUGGGCGUAAAGGGUGCGUAGGUGGCGCUGUAAGUCAGGUGUGAAAUUUCGGAGCUCAACUCCGAAACUGCACUUGAUACUGCGGUGCUUGAGGACUGGAGAGGAGACUGGAAUUUACGGUGUAGCAGUGAAAUGUGUAGAGAUCGGGAGGAACACCGGUGGCGAAGGCGGGUCUCUGGGCAUCUCCUGACGCUGAGGCGCGAAAGCGUGGGGAGCAAACGGG